GAAGAUGAUGUCUGCGGCCACCAAACUGUCCACUGUGAAGACAAACCAUGCAUGUUUAGUAGGCAGUGGCUCCUCUUCCCUGUGGGGAGUCCCACUGCUUCCCUGGCCUGGGUGUUCUCUGCCGUGCCUUUGGACACUUCUUCGGAAAAGCACAUGAACUCUUCGGAGUCUCCUGUUCCACUUGGUAAAUUUCCUAUAGCCACGCACUGAAAGUCCCUGCUGCCCUCCUUCCUCUGAGCUUGUGGGGCCCACAGAUCCCCUGCUCCACUUCCUGCUUCAUUUCAGCUGAUGGAUGACACUCCCUCGUUCUAAUACCAUCUGAAUGCCUGAGCAAUUACAUCUUACAACCUCAUGAAAAACACAGCAGCUUGUCACGAUGAAUGAUGUUACCGUGAAUAAUGCAGUUUUGAGUUCAAACUCCUUCUUAUUCCAAGAAUGAGUAAAUAUCCCUAUUCCCUCCCCUCCCCAUUGCAUUUGGGUUUGACAUGACAUGAAUCAUUGUGGUUUUACUCCUGGGUAGAAUUGUUUUUCUGUAUUGCAUUGCCAAUUGAUGGAAGGACAAAAAAAGGAAACUUACCAAUGAGCAGUUUCAGAUGAACUUAAAUUCUCAGAAAUCUUGAAGAAUGAAUGAACUAUAACUUUCUGAAGUUGCAAAAAUGUUCAAGUCG
rnacentral:lncRNA from 1 species